UACGAAGGGGGCUAGCGUUGCUCGGAAUCACUGGGCGUAAAGCGCACGUAGGCGGACUCUUAAGUCGGGGGUGAAAUCCUGGAGCUCAACUCCAGAACUGCCUUCGAUACUGGGAGUCUUGAGUUCGGGAGAGGUGAGUGGAACUGCGAGUGUAGAGGUGAAAUUCGUAGAUAUUCGCAAGAACACCAGUGGCGAAGGCGGCUCACUGGUCCGGUACUGACGCUGAUGUGCGAAAGCGUGGGGAG
rnacentral:rRNA from 1 species